GCAGCAGUGGGGAAUUUUGGACAAUGGGGGCAACCCUGAUCCAGCAAUGCCGCGUGUGCGAAGAAGGCCUUCGGGUUGUAAAGCACUUUUGUCAGGGAAGAAAUCCUUUGGGCUAAUACCCUAGGGGGAUGACGGUACCUGAAGAAUAAGCACCGGCUAACUACGUGCCAGCAGCCGCGGUAAUACGUAGGGUGCAAGCGUUAAUCGGAAUUACUGGGCGUAAAGCGUGCGCAGGCGGUUGUGUAAGACAGAUGUGAAAUCCCCGGGCUUAACCUGGGAACUGCAUUUGUGACUGCACGACUAGAGUGCGUCAGAGGGGGGUGGAAUUCCACGUGUAGCAGUGAAAUGCGUAGAUAUGUGGAGGAACACCAAUGGCGAAGGCAGCCCCCUGGGAUGACACUGACGCUCAUGCACGAAAGCGUGGGGAGCAAACAGGAUUAGAUACCCUGGUAGUCCACGCCCUAAACGAUGUCAACUAGUUGUUGGGGAUUUACUUCCUUGGUAACGUAGCUAACGCGUGAAGUUGACCGCCUGGGGAGUACGGCCGCAAGGUUAAAACUCAAAG
rnacentral:rRNA from 1 species